UGGCUGGACGAGGUAAAACUGUCUUUGUUUAAUGUAAAUUAGAACUUAACUUUUGAGUCAAAAGGCUCAAAUUUAAUUGAUAGACGAGAAGACCCUAUAGAUCUUUAUUUAAAGGUUAUAUAUUAAAUUUGGAUGAUUUUGUGGUUUAUGACUUUAUAAAUUUUAUUGGGGUAAUAUAGAGAUUUAAUAAAUUCUUUGAAAAAUUUCAACAAUGAUGAUUGAUAAAUUGCUCCAUUAUUAUUGAUUAUAAAAUUAAUUUAC
rnacentral:rRNA from 1 species